UACGAGGGGUGCAAGCGUUGCUCGGAAUUAUUGGGCGUAAAGGGUAGGUAGGUGGUCUCAUUUGUCUGGGGUGAAAUCCUUGAGCUUAACUCAAGAAGUGCCCCAGAAACAGUGAGACUUGAGUACUGGAGAGGGUCGUGGAAUUCCCGGUGUAGCGGUGAAAUGCGUAGAGAUCGGGAGGAACAUCAGUGGCGAAGGCGGCCAUCUGGGACAACACUGACGCUGAGGCACGAAAGCGUGGGGAGCAAACAGGG
rnacentral:rRNA from 1 species